CAGCCAACUUCUGUUUUUUAUAUUUUAGCCUUCUAAAAUAGCCUCACUAUCUAUAGUCACAGCAGAUAGAAUAGUCCAUAAUAAUCUAAUCUAAUCCAGAGCAAUUCAAGAGGGAAAUACUAAAAAGAGAUUACUGUUUCUGUUUUGUUGUUGUUGUUGUUUUGAGACAGAGUCUUGCUCUGUCGCCCAAGGCUGGAGUACAGUGGCGUGAUCUCAGCUCACUGCAACCUCUGCCUCCCUGUUUCAAGCAAUUCUCCUGUUUCAGCCUCCUGAGUAGCUGGGAUUACAGACACGAGAACUGCUUAAACCUGGGAGGCGGAAGUUGCAGUGAACCAAGACUGCACCACUGCACACCAAUCUGGGCAACAGAGGAAGAUUAUCUCAAAAAAAAAAAAAAUAGAAAAGAAAAGAA
rnacentral:lncRNA from 1 species